rnacentral:rRNA from 1 species
GAUGAACGCUGGCGGCGUGCCUAAUACAUGCAAGUCGAGCGAACGGACGAGGAGCUUGCUUCUCUGAUGUUAGCGGCGGACGGGAGAGUAACACGUGGAUAACCUACCUAUAAGACUGGGAUAACUUCGGGAAACCGGAGCUAAUACCGUAUAAUCUUUUGAACCGCAUGGUUCAAAAGUGAAAUACGGUCUUGCUGUCACUUAUAGAUGGAUCCGCGCUGCAUUAGCUAGUUGGUAAGGUAACGGCUUACCAAGGCAACGAUGCAUAGCCGACCUGAGAGGGGGAUCGGCCACACUGGAACUGAGACACGGUCCAGACUCCUACGGGAGGCAGCAGUAGGGAAUCUGACGCAAUGGGCGAAAGCCUGACGGAGCAACGCCGCGCGAGUGAUGAAGGUCUUCGGAUCGUAAAACUCUGUUAUUAGGGAAGAACAUAUGUGUAAGUAACUGUGCACAUCGUGACGGUACCUAAUCAGAAAGCCACGGCUAACUACGUG